UAGGCGUCAUAACCAAAAUAUGUAAUUUCUGACAACCUUCCGCAUUGUCCGCGACCGGUCAAAUUCCAUCCUCUUUCCCGUCCACAGGGGCAUUCCCGCAAUUACAAUUCAGAACCAACGGCCAGUUUGUAUCGUACACCGGCCGCCACAAAAACCCUAGAUACUCACAAUUUUGACUUUCCCUCUCACUCCGCUUCUCUUGUCAGAGUCUGAGGAUGAAUGAAGGAUUUAAGGCACGCUGAUCGUCGCUCCCAAUUCUGCUUCUUCGCCAUUUCAUUGGUUCCGAAGCUUUUUAGGUUUUCCAAUUUCCAAUUUUUGUUCCUCAGAAAAGCCCCUUUUGCUUAUCUCUCGAUUACUUGAUCGCCAUGUCCAAAAGGGUUCUCUGCAAGUUUUUUGCACAUGGCGCCUGUUUGAAAGGGGAGCAUUGUGAGUUUUCACAUGAUUGGAAGGCUUCACCAAAUAAUAUAUGUACCUUUUAUCUGAAAGGAGCUUGUGCAUUUGGUAGUAGAUGCAGAUAUGAACAUGUCAAAGCUUCUCGGGCUCAGUCUUUCGGUUCGUCUUCAUCAACAAAUUCUCAGCCAUCCCUGGUUAUUGAUACUGCAUCUUUGGUUCUUCCUGCAAGAACGUUAGCAAGUGGAGUUUCUCUUGCGCCACUCUCUCUUUCAGAACUCUCUGCUUCAAGUAGUCCUUUCUUACCUCCCUCAAAACCUGCCUGGAAUGGUUCUCUGGAUGGUGAUUAUGAUGAUGAUGAAGGUAGUGUUGGGGAGACUAGGAAUACUAGACCAGAAGAUCGUGCUAUUUGUUCAUUUGCUGCAGCUGGUAAUUGUCCUCGUGGAGAAAAAUGUCCUCAUAUUCAUGGAGAUAUAUGCCCCAGCUGUGGAAAACAUUGCUUGCAUCCUUACAGACAUUUGGAAAGGGAGGAGCAUAUGAAGAUAUGUAAGGAAAAGCAGAAGCAACUUGAGGCUUUGAAAUGCAGUCAAGAAAUAGAAUGCAGUGUUUGCCUUGAACGUGUUUUGUCAAAGCCCACAGUUGCUGAGCGGAAGUUUGGGAUACUCUCAGAAUGUGAUCAUCCUUUUUGCAUAUCUUGUAUUAGAAAUUGGCGCAGUAGUUCCCCAACAUCUGGUAUGGAUGUCAAUAGCGCAUUGAGAGCUUGUCCAAUAUGUCGGAAGCUGUCAUACUUUGUCAUUCCAAGUGUCAUUUGGUAUAAGUCAAAAGAAGAGAAACAGGAAAUUGUUGACAGCUACAAAGCAAGGCUCAGGUCAAUUGAUUGCAAGCACUUCGAUUUUGGAAAUGGGAACUGCCCAUUUGGAACUAGUUGUUUUUAUAAGCAUGCAUACCGAGAUGGCCGUUUGGAGGAAGUAGCACUGCGUCAUAUUGGAAAUGAAGAUGGUCAGACAGUGAUAGCCACAAAUAUUAGGUUGUCAGACUUUCUUGCUGACCUACACAUAAGGUGAAUAAUGCCGUUACAAUAUUCCAAUUGAAAAAGUGCCGUGUGCUUAAAUGUGCAUGAUUUUUUCGCAACAAGAACACAUGCGCAGCUCUCAUGCUGGUUUUUGCAAUUGCAAGUAGGAUACUCGAGUGGAUUGCAAGAAUUGAUUGCAGGAUGGCUAUCCAGUUGUGGGAGAGAAGACAUGCUCGGUUGUCGUAAACUACAUGUAACAGAAUUCUAAAUAAAGUUAUUACCGAGCGGAAGAGUGUAUGUUGAGGAUUUUGACACUUAUACAAUGUGCCCGUCUGUGACUUGGAUGAAUGUCUACAGAUGAGGAUGUCGAUUAUUUGUGUUAAUGAUCAGGUUUUAUUCGGACGA